UAAGUAAGUGGUGGAAAUUAAACCAAAUGGGAUAUCUUUAGUAAUUGCGAAUGAACAAGGAUAUGCUUAGCUUGACAAAUGGAGCUAUUGGCUUUGAAUUGUAUUGUGGAAAUGUAUUACCAACAGAGGUGCAGGUGCCAGCCUAUUGAAAUAAAGCGUCAAUGAGGGUGAGAAUCCUGUUUGUCAUGUGCAGCCCUUUGUGCACGGUGUAUAUUUGCUGAGUCACACUCCUUGGCAUUGGAAUGCAAAGUGGGUGGUAAGCUUCAUGUAAAGGUAAACAUGCAAUUGAGACUGAUAGCACACAAGUACCAUGAGGGAAAUAUGAAAAGGACUUUGAAAAGAGAAUUAAAUGAGUUUGUAUUUGCUGAACACAAAGUAAACAGACUUGAUUUGCUUGGUGGGAGUGUUGCACUUGCUUGACAAGAGCUUUGGGCUGUGGGUGUAAUGAUUCUUUCUUUGCAUGCCAGUUUCUAUUUGUACAUCUGAUUACCUUUGCACAUGAAUGAUAAGUCUCCUGUGGGGGGUGGAUUGCAUGUGCAUGUAAUGAUUUGUGUUUUGAUAAAUGUGUCUGGUGUAUGUGUGUGUUCCUGUGCUUGGGGAUGCUUCCUUCCUUGGACUUACAAGCCCUGACACACACAUGCUGGCAAAAUGCUUCUGCUUGACCCG
rnacentral:rRNA from 1 species